GUCAGAGCUAUAUCUCCCUGCAGUUCUCGCCUGGUUCCCAGUGAAGCUAAGCAGGGUUGUGCUUGGCCAGUACCUGAGUGGGAGACCUCAUGGGGAAAACUAAGUUUGCUGCUGUAA
rnacentral:rRNA from 1 species